rnacentral:lncRNA from 1 species
GUUCGAAAAGAAAAUUAAUUAAGAAAGAAAAAUUGAUGAGAUAGGAGAUUGUACCAUACGACAUCCAGCGAGUGCAUAAUUAAACUAUUGCGAUUAGUCCAGAUCAUCCACAAUCUAUUUGCAACGUCCUCCUAGUCAUGCUUGUAAAUACCGCGUAAUCGAAUUUCGCCCAACGAUAAUAAUCAAGUACCUUGCAAGAUCAAAGAGACUAAACAAUUUUCUGAAAUUUGGGACGAUAAAACAAGUCUACGAAUUUUUCCGAGAAAGAAAAAAAUUAGAAAUCAAAACAUUCUAUAGACCAAGCUUUUAUUACCAAUAGAUAAUUUGCGGAAAUUGAGAUAUAGAAGGAAAUACUAGCUUGUGAUGUGAACCGGGUUCAUCCAAUGUAGGCUGCUGCUUGUUGGUCACAGGAACCGGUUGACGUGUGCAAGAAGACAAGCAAGGCCGCCUCGGGAGAUGUGCACAAGAACCCUCGUCUCCAACAUCUUCUUCCUACUGGCUUGAUCACACAACUCUCACCUCUCACUAGAAAUUCCUCUAUUUUCUAAAAUCUUAACCAAACCUCACAAAUAGGUAGUCAAAAUUUGCAGAAAAUUAAGAGGAACUCAGAUCCAACAUAACCUUAUAACUCUGGACCUCGCCAGAACCGGAAACCCUCCAGGAAAAAACUUUCGCUCAAAAAACCUUUGCAAGAAAAGUUCAAAAUAUUAUUCAAUAAUCAUCGUCCCUUUUCAUAAAACCUUGUAGGUUAUUUAUAUCCUAAUUACAUCCGAGAAAAAAUCUCAACUAGAGAUUUAUCUAAAAAGAAAAUAACCGAAAAAAAUCUUAACUAGAGAUUUAUCUAAAAGGAAAAUAUAACAAAUAUUCCUAACAAGAAAAUCUUAAAAUAACAGAGUAAAUCAAGAAUAAUCUUCAGAUCCAUAUAGCGGGUUCGGGUGCCAACAUGCGGCGCCUUCGUUGAUAGACCUGAAACUCGGGCGAUGAGACGGGUCGGGUUCAGUCUGCAUCAUCUCUCCCCAGCUUGGAAAAAUCCGACUCUGACAGAUUAUGGCUGAUGUAGUCCUCAUAGAGACCUGGAGCAAUGUCUCUAAACUCGUGCUCUGGUAUCCAUGUCACUUCUUCAUCUGGUCGGGAUGCCCACUUCACCAUAAAGCUACGCGAAUCACCUGAUCGUGUAAUAACAACUCGAUCGUCGAGAACCUGUUCGAUUUCUUCUUUCUUUCUCGGUAUGGGUAGGGAUGGAAGUGGAGGAGGAGGUUGACGUGGAGAUAUAUUUGUGGAGAUGGGAUUCUCAAUGGAAAGAGGCUCAUGGUAGUGGCUCAGAUCCUCGAUAUUGACCGUUGAGUUAAAACCGAUAUUAGCUGGCAAAUCCAAGACAUAAGCAUUUGGAUUUAGUUGUUUCAAGAUUUUGAAUGGACCCAAAUUUCUCGCAUGUAGCUUUUUCACGGUACCGCUGCGAAAUCGUUCUGGUCGAACCCUUACCAUAACCAUAUCUCCUUCUUUAAAAUUUUCUUUAUGCCGACGUUCAUUUGCUUUAUUUGCAUAAAUCUCAGUCUUUAAAACAAUUGCUCGUCAUAUUUUAUCAUGCAAUUCUUUUAUAUGUUGAACAAAGGCUUCGGCAUGUUGGCUUGAUCUAUAGUCUACAGGUAAUGGAAUUAGGUCAAUGGGUGUCCUAGGGUUGUAACCAGUGACAAUCUCAAAUGGACUCAUUCCAGUGGUGCGAUUAACCGAGUUAUUAUAGGCAAAUUCAGCCAUAGGUAAAAUGCUAUCCCAGUUCCUAGUGUGAUGCUAGACAACGUAAUAAAUGUCCUAGGCUUCGAUUAACAACCUCAAUUUGGCCAUCUGUUUGUGGGUGAUAUGGUGAAGAAAAUUGUAAUUUAGUGUUCAUUAAUUUCCACAUUGUCUUCCAAAAAUAACUCACAAACCGCACAUCUCUAUCACUCACAAUAGUCUUUGGUAGUCCAUGCAAUUUUAUGACGUGAUCAACAAAAAGCUUCGCUACAUGGGUGGCGUCAGAAGUCUUUCUACAUGGUAUAAAAUGUGCCAUUUUUGAAAACCUAUCAACCACAACUAAAAUCGAAUCGUGACCUCGAAUGGUUUUAGGGAGUCCUAGAACAAAGUCCAUGCUAAGAUCUUACCAGGGGGCAUGAGGUAUAGGUAAACGUGUAUAUAAUCUAAUAUUCUUUCGCUUUCCUUUACUGGUCUGGCAUAUACCACACUGAGCAACAACAUGUGCAACAUCUCGUUUAAGACUUGGCCAAAAGAAACGAUCCUCUACCAAAAUAAUGGUCUUAUCCCUACCAAAAUGCCCUGCUAAGCCUCCAGAAUGCAAUUCCCAAAUCAUAAAAUCUCUCAAUGAACCUUGGGGAACACACAAAUGUCUACCGUUAAAUAAAUAUCCAUCAUGAAUAACAAAAUCAGGGUUAUCAUGCAAUCCAUCAAGAAUGUUCUUAUAAGUUUCACCAAAAUCUGGACACGUGGGAUAUUCGUUUUUAACUCGAUCAAACCCUCUGACUUGUGUUCCUACAGCAUGCAAAGUCAUGAUAACACGACUAAGAGCAUCAGCAACUCUGUUUUCGAUACCAGCAACAUGCUUAAGAACAUAGGUAUAUUCCAAAUUAGUACCGUUUGGUUCAGGUAUAAGCAAGAACUAGUUAUUACAGGGAUAGGUACAAGUAUGGGGAUAAGAAAAAUAGUGUUUGGAUGAAAAUUGGGUUGUUCCCGGGGAUAAGAACAAUUUUAGGUAGUUUUAUAUAGAAAAUGGAGGUGUUGAUGGGGAUAACCGAGAACUACUGUUCUCGGGUAAAAAAUUAGCAUUUGGGUAUAAAAGGGGGGAUAAGGGCCUAUUCCUAUCCCUAUCCCCUAACCAAACGCUGAGUAAGAAACGCAACCCACUUGGCAUGCCGUGAAUUUAAUUUCUUUUGCGACUUAAGGUAGCUAAGGGCUUGAUGGUCCGAAAGUAAAACAAACUCCUUAGGUAAUAAAUAAUGUCGCCAAUAUCGUAGGGCUUGCACAAUUGCAUAUAAUUCCUUGUCGUACGUGGAGUAUUUCAUCUUUGCCUCAUUCAAUUUUUCGCUAAAAUAAGCAAUUGGAUGACCUUCUUGACUCAAGAUUCCACCUAUUCCUACUCCAGAUGCAUCAAACGAAACCUCAAAGAUCUUCUCAAAAUCAGGUAAUCUCAAAACAGGUGGAUUAGCCAUUCGUUCCUUAAUUUUAUUAAAUGCCAUACUCGCAGCCUUGGUCCAUGUGAAUUCUCCCAUUUUUCAUGCAAUUUGUAAUUAGAGCCAUAAUGGUACUAAAACCUCGAAUGAAUCUUCGGUAGAAUGUCGCUAACCCAUGAAAACUUCUAACAUCAUAAAUAUUCUGCGGUUGGGGCCACUGUUGGAUUGCUUUGACCUUAACGGGAUCGGCUGACACUCCAUUUACAGAUACCACGAAGCCUAAGAAAACAACCUCAGGUUGCAUGAAAACACAUUUUUUGGUAUUAAUGUAAAGCUUUUCUCUCCUAAGAGUGUCUAAAACUUGCCUAAGGUGACUUAGGUGUUCAUCUUCAGUCUUACUAUAAAUCAGAAUAUCAUCGAAAUAGACUACAAGGAAUUUUCCUAUGAAAGGUCGAAGCACUUGAUUCAUGACUCGCAUGAAUGUACUUAGGGCAUUCGUCAAACCGAAUGGCAUCACCAACCACUCGUACAAACCUUCCUUCGUUUUAAAGGUAGUUUUCCACUCAUCUCCUUGUCUAAUUCUUAUUUGAUGAUACCCGCUUCUAAGAUCAAUUUUUUGUAAAGAUUAUGGAUCCAGCCAUCAUAUCAAGCAUAUCAUCCAAUCGAGGAAUCGAAAAUCUAUACUUAAUAGUGAUCUUGUUGAUGGCUCGACUAUCGAUGCACAUUCACCAAGUUCCAUCCUUCUUUGGAGUAAGGAGUGUCGGAACUGCACAAGGACUCAUACUCUCCCUAAUGAAACCUUUUCUAACCAAGUCCUCUACUUGACGUUUCAAUUCACCAUGCUCCUUAGGGUUCAUCCUAUAAUGGGGCAGGUUUGGCAAUGAUGAUCCAGGCACUAAAUCUAUCGCAUGUUGAAUAUCUCUCAUUGGUGGCAAUUCAUCAGGUAACUCGUCUGGGGUCAAAUCAGAAUAGUCAGACAAUAGGUUUCGAAGGUUCAAUGGCAGAUCAGGUUCAAGGGAAAGCUUCUCUACCUCUCGAACAACUAAUGCAUAAACAACGGUAAAACUAGCCUCCCUACAAAAUUGCUUCUUGUUCAAGAAAUGAAGCGGUCUAGUCUGCUCUACCAACGUGUUUUUCUUAGAUGUGGUUGGUCCAUUAUGUGCAUUAGAUUGGCUGGUCAAAGACUGAAUCGGCUUAGGUCGGUGAGUCUUAGCACGAUCUUUUUCUUAUCAUGAGUGAAGGUGUAUGUGUUUUGACGACCAUAAUGUGUAACAUCAUGAUCGUACAACCAUGGUCAUCCCAAAAGAAUGUGUCCGACAUCCAUCGGGAGGACAUCACACCAUACUUGAUCCCUAUAUGUAGCAAAGUUGAGAGGGACCAAACAUCGCUCAGUGACAGGUAUCGUAGUCUUAUCUACCCAAGCAACUCUAAAGGGAUUUGGAUGUGGUUCAGGGGUCAACUUCAUUCGGUCAAGGGCUGUUUUGGCUACCACAUUCAUGCAACUGCCGCCAUCAAUAACGACUUUGCAUACCUUAUCCCCGCACUUGGUAUAAGUGUGGAAGAUAGCAGUGCGUCGCCAAUCAUCCUCAUUCUCCUUCGUGGUGAGAACACAACGAACGACUUGCAGUGGAAUGGUGUCGUCUAGGUCAUCUACGUACGCGUUCUCAUCCUCGUCACUUGGAUACUCCUCAGUCUCAUGCACUACUUCCUCAAAGUCAUCUUCAUCGUUUUUCAUCAUCAAGUUACGCUUUUGUGGACACUUAUUCGAAUAAUGGCCCAUUCCUUCACAGUUAUAGAGAAAGGACUGGUUUAGUUUCCUCAACUAAAGAUUUUUCCCUAGAAUCUCGAUUAGGUUGAUUGAAGGGUGCGAUUGACUUACCAGUGUUUUGGUUUCUAUCGGUCCACUUCUUAGUGCUUGACUCCCCGGCUUGGUAACCGAAGCGCCUAGUAGGAGGUUUAAGAUAACGCUCAUAUUCGAGUGCGAGUUGGAACGCAUCUUCUACCGUGGUUACUCGAUGGGGUGUAAUCUCUUUCUGGAUUUCCUCACAUAAUCCUCUCCUAAACCGGGCCAACGUCACGUCCUCUUCUUCCUGGAUCUUACACCUAACAGAAAUCUCAUCAAACUUUUGCAUGUAAUCAGCUACGGACAUUGAACCUUGACGUAAGGACAAUAUUUGCUCUAUCUGAAGCUGCCUAUGGGUUGAUGGCAAAUAUUUUUCACUUAAUUUAGCCUUCAUCUCAUCCCACAACGUGAUUGGUGCUUGCCUAGACCUAGCCAAUUGUCGCUCAACACUCACCCAAUAUUGUUUGGCUGCCCCUACAAGUUUUAUUUUGGUAAAGCGAACGCGACGGUCAUCGGACAUAUCGUACCAAUCAAAAAAUUGGUCCAUAUCAGUCAGCCAAUCUUAGGAUCAAAUCUACCAUCAAAAGUUGGGGCUUCAAUUUUGAUCUUUUUGGUAAUGUCAUCACCUAGUGGGAAAUUAUGUCUAGGGAGGUCAGGUUGGUUUCCAUGGCGAUGGGCUCUCAGGGCUGUUCUAUCAGGAGUAGCAGUCGCAGUGCCUACUACGGUUUGACUAGUCUCAAGGAUGGCCACACGAUCCCCUAUGUUAUCUAAUUUAGUGUUCAAAGCAGUCAAUUGUUGUAAAAUCUGAUCCAUUGCAGUGGGUUCCAAAGACAUUGGUACAGGAUGAUAAAUUUUACCACUUCUAAGGAUCAUACAUUAACCUAGGUCUCUGAUACCAAAUCUUAUGCAGGACGGGUUAAACCUAUCCUACAAGUAAAUACUCCUUAGAUGUGGUAGGCAAAAUAUUUUGUAGAGAUAAAAUUAAACAAGCAAAUUUUUUUUUUUUUUUUUUUUAAGAAAAGAACAUUCGAAAAGAAAAUUAAUAAAGUAAGAAAAAUUGAUGAGAUAGGAGAUUGUACCAUACGACAUCCAGCAAGUGCAUGAUUAAACUAUUGCGAUUAGUCCAGAUCAUCCACAAUCUAUUUGCAACGUCCUCCUAGUCAUGCUUGUAAAUACCGCGUAAUCGAAUUUCGCCCAACGAUAAUAAUCAAGUACCUUGCAAGAUCAAAGAGACUAAACAAUUUUCUGAAAUUUGGGACGAUAAAACAAGUCUACGAAUUUUUCCGAGAAAGAAAAAAAUUAGAAAUCAAAACAUUCUAUAGACCAAGCUUUUAUUACCAAUAGAUAAUUUGCGGAAAUUGAGAUAUAGAAGGAAAUACUAGCUUAUGAUGUGAAGCGGGUUCAUCCAAUGUAGGCUGCUGCUUGUGGGUCACAGGAACCAGUUGACGUGUGCAAGAAGACAAGCAACGCCGCCUCGGGAGGUGCACAAGAACCUUUGUCUCCAACUUCUUCUUCUUCCUGCUGGCUUGAUCACACAACUCUCACCUCUCACUAGAAAUUCCUCUAUUUUCUAAAAUCUUAACCAAACCUCACAAAUAGGUAGUCAAAAUUUGCAGAAAAUUAAGAGGAACUCAGAUCCAACAUAACCUUAUAACUCUGGACCUCGCUAGAACCGGAAACCCUCCAGGAAAAAACUUUCGCUCAAAAAACCUUUGCAAGAAAAGUUCAAAAUAUUAUUCAAUAAUCAUCGUCCCUUUUCAUAAAACCUUGUAGGUUAUUUAUAUCCUAAUUACAUCCGAGAAAAAAUCUCAACUAGAGAUUUAUCUAAAAAGAAAAUAACCGAAAAAAAUCUUAACUAGAGAUUUAUCUAAAAGGAAAAUAUAACAAAUAUUCCUAACAAGAAAAUCUUAAAAUAACAAAGUAAAUCAAGAAUAAUCUUCAGAUCCAUAUAGCGGGUUCGGGUGCCAACUUGCGCCGCCUUCGUUGAUAGACCUGAAACUCGGGCGAUGAGACGGGUCGGGUUCGNUCUGUA